AAAUUGAAGAGUUUGAUCAUGGCUCAGAUUGAACGCUGGCGGCAGGCCUAACACAUGCAAGUCGAGCGGCAGCGGGAAAGUAGCUUGCUACUUUUGCCGGCGAGCGGCGGACGGGUGAGUAAUGCCUGGGGAUCUGCCCAGUCGAGGGGGAUAACAGUUGGAAACGACUGCUAAUACCGCAUACGCCCUACGGGGGAAAGGAGGGGACCUUCGGGCCU
rnacentral:rRNA from 1 species